rnacentral:rRNA from 2 species
GAUGAGCCUAUGUUAGAUUAGCUAGUUGGUAGGGUAAAGGCCUACCAAGGCAGUGAUCUAUAGCUGGUCUGAGAGGAUGAUCAGCCACACUGGAACUGAGACACGGUCCAGACUCCUACGGGAGGCAGCAGUGGGGAAUAUUGGACAAUGGGCGCAAGCCUGAUCCAGCUAUGCCGCGUGAGUGAGGAAGGCCUUAGGGUUGUAAAGCUCUUUCAGUAGGGAAGA